ACGGAAGGCAGCAGUGGGGAAUAUUGCACAAUGGGGGAAACCCUGAUGCAGCGACGCCGCGUGAGUGAAGAAGUAUUUCGGUAUGUAAAGCUCUAUCAGCAGGAAAGAAAAUGACGGUACCUGACUAAGAAGCCCCGGCUAACUACGUGCCAGCAGCCGCGGUAAUACGUAGGGGGCAAGCGUUAUCCGGAUUUAUUGGGUGUAAAGGGUGCGUAGACGGAGAUACAAGUUGGUUGUGAAAUCCCUCGGCUCAACUGAGGAACUGCAACCAAAACUAUAUCCCUUGAGUGUCGGAGGGGAAAGUGGAAUUCCUAGUGUAGCGGUGAAAUGCGUAGAUAUUAGGAGGAACACCGGUGGCGAAGGCGACUUUCUGGACGAUAACUGACGUUGAGGCACGAAAGUGUGGGGAGCAAACAGGAUUAGAUACCCUGGUA
rnacentral:rRNA from 1 species